UUAAGCAUAUCAAUAAGCGGAGGAAAAGAAACUAACAAGGAUUCCCCUAGUAACUGCGAGUGAAGCGGGAAAAGCUCAAAUUUAAAAUCUGGCGGUCUUUGGCCGUCCGAGUUGUAAUCUAGAGAAGUAAUGCCCGUGCUGGACCGUGUAUAAGUCUCCUGGGAUGGGGCGUCAUAGAGGGUGAGAAUCCCGUCUUUGACACGGACUACCAGUGCAUUGUGGUAUGCUCUCAAAGAGUCGAGUUGUUUGGGAAUGCAGCUCAAAAUGGGUGGUAAAUUCCAUCUAAAGCUAAAUAUUGGCGAGAGACCGAUAGCGAACAAGUACCGUGAGGGAAAGAUGAAAAGAACUUUGGAAAGAGAGUUAAACAGUACGUGAAAUUGCUGAAAGGGAAACGCUUGAAGUCAGUCGCGUUGGCCAGGGAUCAGCCUUGCUCUUGCAUGGUGUACUUUCUGGUUGACGGGUCAGCAUCAAUUUUGACCGCUGGAAAAGGGCCUGGGGAAUGUGGCAGCUUCGGCUGUGUUAUAGCCCCUGGUCGCAUACGGUGGUUGGGAUUGAGGAACUCAGCACGCCGCAAGGCCGGGUUUCGACCACGUUCGUGCUUAGGAUGCUGGCAUAAUGGCUUUAAGCGACCCGU
rnacentral:rRNA from 1 species